GGCCUGCUAGCUCAGUCGGUUAGAGCGUCGUGCUAAUAACGCGAAGGACGUAGGUUCGAUCCCCACGUAGGCCA
rnacentral:tRNA from 1 species